UGUUUGUGCUGAUAAACGCUUCGUUUGUGCUGCUUCGGAUUUGGAGAUAUUAAAAGAAUAUUUAUAGGUCAUUCUGGGGUCGUUUGUGCUGCUUCCGUUUAUAAAAUAUUAGGCAUUAAGUUCUAUGAGCUUACGUCACCAGCCCCACACAUGCUCAAAUUAACCCGAAAUGGCCUCAAUCGUUUGUGCCGGUUUUUGCCGACUGUCUUACUUUAACACAGUUGAAGUAACAAGGUCCUCAUUCUCUGCAUCUGGAAUGACUACACACCCUUCUGCAAUUCAGGCUUUCAGUCCCACUGGCAGAUCAUCUUGAUGCAGUGUGCAACAUCAACCUGAACAAAACAAGGUGGCACUUGUUAACACUUUACCAAGUAAGACAACACUCAUUGAUGUAGGUCUUCAGAUCAGGAUGAGGAGUAAAUGCCUUGACCAGAGCUCUAAGCAAAGCCAGAGAAAAGUCACUCACAACCUCUUUUGGAAUUGGUGCACCUGCACGUAUCCAUUCUGUAAGCCAAUGUGUUAUUGCAUUAACAUCGUGUCUCUCUGACAGCAUUUGCACCACUGGGACACUUGAAUUCUCAUCCCCUGCCAGAACACCCUGAUAAGAUAUGGCCAGACAUGCCAUUAGGUCUCAGUUUCCUCACCACUGAGCCAGUUGCAUCAAAACUCAGUGGGGUUAGUAGACUUCUUUGAUAAUGACUUGCUGAGUGACCCCAGAAUGACCUUUGGAAUAUCCUUUUAAUACCCCCUGAACCAUUGCAGCACAAAUUAAACUUUUUACAGCACAAACAUUGCUGCUUGGUUCUUGCCUGCUGCUGUUUGGUUAUGUGUUGGUUACUAUCACU
ensembl:lncRNA